UGGAUCCAGACUUUGAUCAUGGCUCAGGAUGAACGCUGGCGGCGUGCUUAACACAUGCAAGUCGAACGAAGCACUUAUCUUUGAUUCUUCGGAUGAAGAGGUUUGUGACUGAGUGGCGGACGGGUGAGUAACGCGUGGGUAACCUGCCUCAUACAGGGGGAUAACAGUUAGAAAUGACUGCUAAUACCGCAUAAGACCACGGAGCCGCAUGGCUCAGUGGGAAAAACUCCGGUGGUAUGAGAUGGACCCGCGUCUGAUUAGGUAGUUGGUGGGGUAACGGCCUACCAAGCCAACGAUCAGUAGCCGACCUGAGAGGGUGACCGGCCACAUUGGGACUGAGACACGGCCCAAACUCCUACGGGAGGCAGCAGUGGGGAAUAUUGCACAAUGGGGGAAACCCUGAUGCAGCGACGCCGCGUGAGCGAAGAAGUAUUUCGGUAUGUAAAGCUCUAUCAGCAGGGAAGAAAAUGACGGUACCUGACUAAGAAGCACCGGCUAAAUACGUGCCAGCAGCCGCGGUAAUACGUAUGGUGCAAGCGUUAUCCGGAUUUACUGGGUGUAAAGGGAGCGUAGACGGCUGUGUAAGUCUGAAGUGAAAGCCCGGGGCUCAACCCCGGGACUGCUUUGGAAACUAUGCAGCUAGAGUGUCGGAGAGGUAAGUGGAAUUCCCAGUGUAGCGGUGAAAUGCGUAGAUAUUGGGAGGAACACCAGUGGCGAAGGCGGCUUACUGGACGAUGACUGACGUUGAGGCUCGAAAGCGUGGGGAGCAAACAGGAUUAGAUACCCUGGUAGUCCACGCCGUAAACGAUGACUACUAGGUGUCGGGGAGCAAAGCUCUUCGGUGCCGCAGCAAACGCAAUAAGUAGUCCACCUGGGGAGUACGUUCGCAAGAAUGCAACUCAAAUGAAUUGACGGA
rnacentral:rRNA from 1 species